rnacentral:rRNA from 1 species
GGGCUCACACAAGCGGUGGAGGAUGUGGCUUAAUUCGAGGCUACGCGAAGAACCUUAUCCUAGUCUUGACAUGUAUGGAUUAACCCUGUGAAAGCAGGGCCACGCCUUCGGGUGGAACAUACACAGGUGCUGCAUGGCUGUCGUCAGCUCGUGUCGUGAGAUGUCGCGUUAAGUCGCUUAACGAGCGAAACCCUUGUCUCUAGUUGCCAGCGCGUAAUGCGGGGACUCUAGAGAGACCGCCGGCGUUAAGCCGGAGGAAGGUGGGGAUGACGUCAAGUCCUCAUGGCCCUUAUGACUAGGGCUGCACACGUCCCUACAAUGGAACGCACAAAGGGAUGCGAAACCGCGAGGUC